CCAAGCAGCACAAUGUACUAAAAGUCGAGUGCAAUAGGGGUGGACGGUAUGUGUCUUAUCAAUGUUCUUUAGUUUCACGAGUCUGUUCAAGGCACUACACCUACCCGUCGACCCCUAUUUCACUCGACUUUCAGUACAUUUUGCUGCUUGGGUAGGUUUCCGGCGAACUCUGGGACCAGAUUAUUACUGCUUUUCUACAAACUGUCACUUCUCAGUGAAUGGAACUUCCAGAUCUAAUUUAGCGGAGUUGCGACACUUGUUCCAAAGUUAUACAAGACUUACGUAGAGACGAGAAUUAGCAUGAAUGUGAACUUGCACCCUGAGGGCACCUUCGAAUAGUAUGAGGCGUGACGUCGCACACCGUACGCACUGUCAUAUUCUUAAGACUCGUCCGAAAAUUCCGAAGUCGUCAACGAAAAAGCGCCUCACGAAGUCUGUUGCGAUGCGUGCUUUCUGCUUCUACGCGCUUGGUGUGGCGCCCAUCAAAAGAUAAUUCCAAAGCAGACGACACCCUCUUCUGCAUAUCGCCUGCAAACUGAAAAUGGGUGAUGCGCCGAAGAAUUGCACGUGGGGCUGCUACAAAUCUGCGCUCCUGACAACGCCGCCCUCCCUGACCCCAAGGACGACGCCAUCACCCAGAUGCCAGGUGGCGGGACCCUCCUGAUUCUGACGUCAUUCUAGACACGUGCAAAAGCUCCAAGCAUUCAUUGGCACCCCUUACUCCUGACGAAGGCGGAGCUUACACUGCAACGUCGACGUACCCCUUUAACUUUCCACCUGUAAAUAAAUAACUUCACCCUUUUUUCCUUACUUCCUA